ensembl:lncRNA
GAAGAAGAAGAGCCGGAAGGAGGAAGAGGAAAACAAAGACGAGCACAGCGACAGCAGAAGCUGAACAGAAGUGUAACUACUGUGAGUGUUUCAUCAUCUGAAGCUACUGCGGAGUCUCUGAGAGCUUUUAUCAGCGAGCGGCUAACUGCUGCUGCUGCUGAAAUAUUGGGAGUGUUUGAACAAACUAUCGUCCAGUACGAGGGAGAGCUGGACCGUCAGCGCAAACUGCUGGAUCUGCUCCUGAAGCCUGAGAUCAAGCUACACAGAACAGAUCUCCCUCAACAACACAGUUGUCAAGUGGAGGAUGUUCUGGCUGACCAGCAGCUCUGUAACCAGAAGAAGAACUCCAUUCUGGACCAGGAGGAACCAGAACCUCCACAGGUUAAAGAGGAACAGCAGGAAGACUGCACCAGUCAUGAAGGAGAGCAGCAUGUACUGAAAGAGGAGACUGAUCCCUCUAUAGUAACUGCUGCUUAUGAUGGACCAGAACCAAACCAUGACAUGGUUCUCUCUCACAACGCUCCUCAAGUUCUCCCUCAACGACAUGACUGUAAGGAGGAAGAGAUCCUGUCUGACCAGCAGCUCUGUAACCAGGAAAAAAAAUCCGGUCUGGACCAUUUUGAACCGAUUGUCAUCCAAUACAAAGAAGAGAUCAACCAUCAGGACCCACUGCUGACACCUGAGAUAAAGUUACACAGAGCAGGUAUGUGA